UGGGGGAUAUUGCACAAUGGGCGAAAGCCUGAUGCAGCGACGCCGCGUGGGGGAUGAAGGCCUUCGGGUUGUAAACUUCUUUUGCUCUGAACAAGGCAUGCUAAUGGGUGUGUUGAGUGUAGGGGUUGAUUAGCGCCGGCUAACUACGUGCCAGCAGCCGCGGUAAUACGUAGGGCGCGAGCGUUGUCCGGAAUUAUUGGGCGUAAAGGGCUUGUAGGUGGCUGGUUGCGUCUGUCGUGAAAGCUCAUGGCUUAACUGUGGGUUUGCGGUGAGUACGGGAUGGCUUGAGUGCAGUAGGGGAGGCUGGAAUUCCUGGUGUAGCGGUGGAAUGCGCAGAUAUCAGGAGGAAUACCGGUGGCGAAGGCGGGUCUCUGGGCUGUUACUGACACUGAGGAGCGAAAGCAUGGGGAGCGAACAGG
rnacentral:rRNA from 1 species